rnacentral:rRNA from 1 species
CAGAAAGACCCUAUGAAGCUUUACUGUAACUUGAAAUUGAAAUUGGACUUUAUUUGCGCAGUAUAGGUGGGAGACGUUGAAAAUAUUCUUGCGGGAGUAUUAGAGUUAUCAGUGAGAUACCACUCUUAUAAUGUUAGAUUUCUAACUUUGUAUCAUAUAUCUGGUCAAAGAACAGUUUCAGGCGGGCAGUUUGACUGGGGCGGUCGCCUCCCAAAUGGUAACGGAGGCGCACAAAGGUUUCCUCUGAACGUGUAGAAAUCGUAUCUAGAGUGUAAAGGCAUAAGGAAGCUUGACUGUGAGACCUACAAGUCGAGCAGGGACGAAAGUCGGUCUUAGUGAUCUGACGGUGCUGAGUGGAAAGGCCGUCACUCAACGGAUAAAAGUUACUCUAGGGAUAACAGGCUGA